CCCUUAGAUGUUCUGGGCCGCACGCGUGCUACACUGAGUGGAUCAGCGGGUCAGGUUGCGCGAAAGUGUUUCCUAAUCUUGAAAUCCGCUCGUGAUGGGGAUUGACGGUUGCAAUUUUUAAUCUUGAACGAGGAAUUCCUAGUAAGUACAGGUCAUCAACUUGUGUUGAUUACGUCCCUGCCCUUUGUACACACCGCCCGUCGCUCCUACUGAUUGAGUGUCUCGGUGAAUUCUUUGAUCUUCUGUCGAUUCAGUUCACUGAUCCGACGGUGGAAAGUUGAAUGAACUUCGUCACUUAGAGGAAGGAGAAGUCGUAACA
rnacentral:rRNA from 1 species